GAUGAACGCUGGCGGCGUGCUUAACACAUGCAAGUCGAACGGAAAGGCUCCUGCUUGCCGGGGUACUCGAGUGGCGAACGGGUGAGUAACACGUGGGUGAUCUGCCCUGCACUUCGGUAUAAGCCUGGGAAACUGGGUCUAAUACCGGAUAGGACGAUGGUUUGGAUGCCAUUGUGGAAAGUUUUUCGGUGUGGGAUGAGCUCGCGGCCUAUCAGCUUGUUGGUGGGGUAAUGGCCUACCCAGGCGUCGACGGGUAGCCGGCCUGAGAGGGUGUACGGCCACAUUGGGACUGGGGAACGGCCCAGGCUCCUACGGGGGGCAGGAGUGGGGAAUAUUGCACAAUGGGGGGAAGCCUGAUGCAACGACGCCGCGUGGGGGAAGACGGCCUUCGGGUUGGAAACCCCUUUCGCUAGGGACGGAGCGUUUUGUGACGGUACCUGGAGAAGAAGCACCGGCUAACUACGUG
rnacentral:rRNA from 1 species